GACGAACGCUGGCGGCAUGCCUAAUACAUGCAAGUCGAGCGAACAGAUGUAGUGCUUGCACUUCUGAUGUUAGCGGCGAACGGGUGAGUAACACGUAAGGAAUCUACCUAUAAGCGGGGGAUAACAUUCGGAAACGGGUGCUAAUACCGCAUAAUAUCUUCUUCCGCAUGGAAGAAGAUUGAAAGACGGCUCUGCUGUCACUUAUAGAUGACCUUGCGGUGCAUUAGUUAGUUGGUGGGGUAAUGGCCUACCAAGACGAUGAUGCAUAGCCGACCUGAGAGGGUGAUCGGCCACAUUGGGACUGAGACACGGCCCAAACUCCUACGGGAGGCAGCAGUAGGGAAUCUUCCGCAAUGGGCGAAAGCCUGACGGAGCAAUGCCGCGUGAGUGAAGAAGGCCUUCGGGUCGUAAAACUCUGUUAUAAGAGAAGAACAAAUUGUAGAGUAACUGCUACAGUCUUGACGGUAUCUUAUCAGAAAGCCACGGCUAACUACGUGCCAGCCGCCGCGGUAA
rnacentral:rRNA from 1 species